rnacentral:tRNA from 1 species
AAAAUCCGUCGAUUUUUGAAAUCAGGAGGGUUCAAGUCCC